GCGGGUAUAGCUCAGUGGUAGAGCACAUGCUUAGUAGGCACGACGUUCUGGGUUCAUUCCCCAGUACCUCCA
rnacentral:tRNA from 1 species